CUCCCAGCUCCCCUUAUCACAUCAAUCAAAACUUACCCUGUGUCUCAUUUUUUUAAUGAAAUAACCUUGGGCUAUAAUGGGUUAAUUAGUUAAUCAAAUCUAUUCUAAUUCACUAAUUGGCUCAUAUGUCAUCUGUUUGAGAAAAUCGUAUAAAUAGCCACUUCUUGGCUGUUUGCAACUGCUGAGUCAUUUAGUAUCUCAGGACCUCCAUUUUCUUACAUUAAAAUAACGGUGGGGGGGAAUUAAUGUCUAAGAAAGGGGUGAUAUUUGAGUUGAGUCUUGGCGUAAAAUGGAAUGGAAGAGCUGCAGCGUGCUAUUUUUAAGAUAAGGCAAAAGAGGAGAGAGCGUGUUUAAAGGAAAUGAAUGUAGCAGCAAAAUCGCCUGAUAGACUUCUAGCUGAGCAUAAUUAUUGCUGCAUCCUCAAGGGAUAAAAAAGAGCCAUGCAAAAUGUCCCAGAGGGGCUUGGACUUCCUGUUAUGUUUAUUAAUCAUCUUGAUGAAAAUGGAAAGUCUACAUUGAUUAAAUUCACUAAUGAUCCUAAACUGAGCGAGGAGUAAAUUCCAGAAAGGAUGGAUUUAUAAGGUCUUAAUCAACUGAUCUCCAAGCCACAGGAAGCCAGUGGCCUCCCAUAAUACUCUUGUCUAAUAGUGCUGAAGAAGAAGAGACCCUUUCUGGAAGCUACAAGGAUUACUACUCCAAAUGGAGUCAAAUGCUUGAAUCUCUUCCCCACUCAGCUCAUUGCAAGACUCACCCACCAUCUCCCUUUACUACUCAAGUUGUACCAGGCCCAGAAUAAACCUGACCACUGAGAGAACAUUUCCCUGGACCUUCCACCAAGCCUUGCCUCUUCCCAGUAGAUAAGAAGAUUAGGCACAAAGGAAUGAUCAGCUUGUCCGAGGUCACUCAGUCAGCGGUGGAGCCAGGAUCCAAAUCCAGGCAGUCUGGCCCCACAGCCCAUAAUAACCACCCACCAUUGAAAUCUGGAAUCUCCAUAACUAAGUAUGCCAUGUGAGAGCGCCUGGUGAGUUUCAUGAAUAGAACUAUCUGGGAUGAGGGAGAGUGUCUUCUCUAUUGAGAACUGAGCAGAUGAAACCAUGAAUAUAAUUUCUAGAGCUGAGAAUUGCACACUGAGAGAUAUUUGAGCUGCAAAACUUCCAGGAGAUGGGCCAGAACAGUGAGAAAUGCAGAGAGAGAGAUAUUAGCCUGGAGAAGAAGGGCUUCUGGAUGGGAAACCUGCUGCCUGUGAACAGCUAAGAGAGGCCAUUCGUUAGGGAAAGGACUCAAACCGGCUGGGGUGGCACUAGUCCAUCACAGGACCCAAGGGCAGAAAUUUCACAAAACCUGUCAGAACUCAUGAAAGAUUAAAUGGUCUCUUUUAAGCAGCUAGUUCACUUUUCCUGGUGCAGUGAUUCUCAACUGGGGGAAAUUUUACCCCCUGAGGGGCAUUUGGCAAAGUCUGAGACUUUUUAAAA